GAUGAACGCUAGCUACAGGCUUAACACAUGCAAGUCGAGGGGCAGCGGUAUCGAAAGCUUGCUUUCGGUAGCCGGCGACCGGCGCACGGGUGAGUAACGCGUAUCGAACCUGCCUCAUACUCGGGAAUAGCCUUGCGAAAGUAAGAUUAAUGCCCGGUGUUUUCAGAGUCCCGCAUGAGGCUUUGAACAAAGAUUUAUCGGUAUGAGAUGGCGAUGCGUCCCAUUAGCUUGUUGGCGGGGUAACGGCCCACCAAGGCAUCGAUGGGUAGGGGUUCUGAGAGGAAGAUCCCCCACAUUGGAACUGAGACACGGUCCAAACUCCUACGGGAGGCAGCAGUGAGGAAUAUUGGUCAAUGGGCGGAAGCCUGAACCAGCCAAGUAGCGUGCAGGAAGACGGCCCUCCGGGUUGUAAACUGCUUUUAGUUGGGAAUAAAACGGGGCUCGUGAGCCCCCUUGCAUGUACCAUCAGAAAAAGGACCGGCUAAUUCCGUG
rnacentral:rRNA from 1 species